GAUGAACGCUGGCGGCGUGCCUAAUACAUGCAAGUCGAGCGAACAGACGAGGAGCUUGCUCCUCUGACGUUAGCGGCGGACGGGUGAGUAACACGUGGAUAACCUACCUAUAAGACUGGGAUAACUUCGGGAAACCGGAGCUAAUACCGGAUAAUAUAUUGAACCGCAUGGGUCAAUAGUGAAAGACGGUUUUGCUGUCACUUAUAGAUGGAUCCGCGCCGCAUUAGCUAGUUGGUAAGGUAACGGCUUACCAAGGCAACGAUGCGUAGCCGACCUGAGAGAGUGAUCGGCCACACUGGAGCUGAGACACGGUCCAUACUCCUACGGGAGGCAGCAGUAGGGAAUCGUCCGCAAUGGGCGAAAGCCUGACGGAGCAACGCCGCGUGAGUGAUGAAGGUCUUCGGAUCGUAAAACUCUGUUAUUAGGUAAGAACAAAUGUCUAAGUAGCUAUGCACGUCUUGACGGUACCUAAUCAGAAAGCCACGGCUAACUACGUG
rnacentral:rRNA from 1 species